rnacentral:rRNA from 1 species
UACGUAGGGGGCAAGCGUUGUCCGGAAUUAUUGGGCGUAAAGAGCUCGUAGGCGGCUUGGCAAGUCGGGUGUGAAACCUCCAGGCUCAACCUGGAGACGCCACUCGAUACUGCCAUGGCUUGAGUCUGGUAGGGGAUCACGGAAUUCCUGGUGUAGCGGUGAAAUGCGCAGAUAUCAGGAGGAACACCGGUGGCGAAGGCGGUGAUCUGGGCCAGUACUGACGCUGAGGAGCGAAAGCGUGGGGAGCAAACAGG